GUUGGCUUUUGUCGUUUUUGAAUGCAGCAGCGGGGUGUCGUUCCCCUUUCUCAUUUCGAUAAGGCAGAGGAAGAGAGCUCCAGUGGCGAAGGAGGCGGAGGCGAUUGCUUCUGUUCAUGGCGAUUCCGAGCUCAUCCACCGCAGGAUUUGAUUUCUUCUCCUUCUUCUCUUGGUCUACCGGCUGCCCUGGUACUAUCUCAAUGAGUAGACUGCGGAAAGUCUGUCGCAAGGAUGUUCCCCUACUUUCUUCACUCGAGAGCGUUGAUUCUUUGAAAGACCCUUAUGUGCCUAAUGAUUUUGCUGAUGAUGGUUCUAAUGGGUUGUUCUGGUGAUGAUGAAGAGUUUGAUAAAGCACUUUACAAUUUCUAUGUGAAUAAUAAAGUCAAGUACCUAAAGAGAAAAUUAUCAUCUGCUGGCAGAAGGAAUGUUGUAAGUCUUUUUUCUCUUCCUUGGGUCAUUUGUAUGGUACCUACACUGUAAAUUUACCCUAUAUGAACUGUAAUCUGAAUGCCCCUAUUACUGAGUGAUACUUAGUGUGAAAUUUGUAUGGUAGUUACACUGUAAUCAUAUAGUCAUUGUGUAAUUUUGUAUGGUAAUUACACUGUAAUCCUACUCCUUUCUUACAGUGUAAAUUUACCCAUAUCUAUACUGUAAUUUGAAUGCCCUUUUUUAAGUGUAAAUUUGCCCAUAGUUACACAGUAAUUUGACUGAUAAUUACUGUGUAAUUUCGUAUGGUAGUUACACUGUAAUCCUGCACCUUUUUUACCUGCACUGUAAUCCGAUGCCUUUUUUUACUCAGUAAUUUGACUGAUAAUUACUGUGUAAUUUGUAUGCUAGUUACACUGUAACCCUACACCUUUUUUUACAGUGUAAUUUUACCCAUAUCUAUACUGUAAUCCAAUGCCCUUUUUUACAUAGUAAGUUAACUGAUAAUUACUGUGUAUUUUGUAUGGUAGUUACAAUGUAAUUACACAGUAGUUACAAUGUAAUUCCCCCGGUGUAAUUUUACCCAUGUUUGUAUUGUAUAAUUUGAAUGAUAAUUUUAUGUGUAAUUUGUAUGGUAGUUUCACUGUAGUCCUAUUUUUUCAUUUUCUGCAGUGUAAUUUUCCCCAUAAUGUAUACUAUAAUCUGUUCCUAUUUAAACUGUAAUUUUACUCUUAAUUACUAUGUAAUUUG